UACGAAGGGGGCUAGCGUUGUUCGGAAUCACUGGGCGUAAAGGGCGCGUAGGCGGCCGAUCAAGUCGGGGGUGAAAGCCUGUGGCUCAACCACAGAAUGGCCUUCGAUACUGGUUGGCUCGAGACCGGAAGAGGUGAGUGGAACUGCGAGUGUAGAGGUGAAAUUCGUAGAUAUUCGCAAGAACACCAGUGGCGAAGGCGGCUCACUGGUCCGGUUCUGACGCUGAGGCGCGAAAGCGUGGGGAUCAAACAGG
rnacentral:rRNA from 1 species